rnacentral:misc_RNA from 1 species
GUGAAUCAUCAAAUCUUUGAACGCAUAUUGCACUCUCUGGUAUUCCGGAGAGUAUGCCUGUUUGAGGGUAAUUAAAAAGAAUAUUUAAAAAAUUUUUUUUGGUCAAAGGAAAUGAGCUCUCCGCGUUUAUAGCGGUAGAUUGAAAUAAAUGGUCAGGGCUCAUUUUAGUAGAGACGAGUAAUAAUAUUAUUUCGCGAAAUCUUCAUUAUGUGACUAUCAAGUUUUGAUGAAUACAAAUUUGCUUUGUAUGUGAUCAAUACAAAUAUUUUGAACAUUACAUCAAACAAGGUCGGAGUACCCG